rnacentral:rRNA from 1 species
UUUUCCGCAAUGGGCGAAAGCCUGACGGAGCAACGCCGCGUGAGUGAUGACGGCCUUCGGGUUGUAAAACUCUGUUCUUGGGGAAGAAUUCUGACGGUACCCAAGGAGAAAGCCCCGGCUAACUACGUGCCAGCAGCCGCGGUAAUACGUAGGGGGCAAGCGUUAUCCGGAUUUAUUGGGCGUAAAGCGCGCGCAGGCGGUCUGGUAAGUCGGAUGUGAAAGGCUACGGCUCAACCGUAGAGCUGCAUCCGGAACUGCUUGGCUUGAGUGCAGGAGAGGAGAGUGGAAUUCCCGGUGUAGCGGUGGAAUGCGUAGAGAUCGGGAGGAACACCAGUGGCGAAGGCGACUCUCUGGCCUGUUACUGACGCUGAGGCGCGAAAGCGUGGGGAGCGAACAGGA